rnacentral:lncRNA from 1 species
UGGACAUGCAUUUGUUGUUAGAACGAGUGAAUCUCCUGCCAGAAUGGGAUUAGGCGAAACCCCAGAUGAAAAGAGCAAUAUCAUGGACAUAUGCUCCAAUGGUGUGGUGGACACUUCGAGUGGUCUCACUAUCUCUUCUCUGUCUGACCUAGAAAUAGACGAAGAAAUCAGAAUGAAGCUGGAAAUGAUUGACCUGCAGUACCAGGAGGAAUUUAAAGCAAUCUCCAAGAGAAGACAUGAUGCCAUCCUGGAUACGAAAAAAUCGAUGAAGAAAAAAACAGAGCCGGUUUAUUAGUUCUUUUCUUUCCUUCUUUUUUUUUUUUUUUGUUUUUUCUUUUCUUUCCUAGCCUUUUCUGUCUUCUAUUUUUCGAUUGUUGCCCUAAAUCCUCCUUUUUCUAGUUCUUUACAGUCUAAAGUCCUCCCUGCAAGUGUAAAAAUUGUGUUAUAGGGGAGAGACAAUCGUAAUAAUCAAAUCACUUUGUUUCCAGAAAUUCUUCUUGAAGUCCAGUCUUCAAAUUUACUUCUCUUUUUUCCCUUAUUUAUUCUUAAUUUUAUAGAAAUGAUAAAGGUAGAAAUUAGAAUGAAAAUAGCCAAAAGAGUAGUGAUAUGGAGCCAUAUUUAUUUAAUUAUUGUUUGACACGUACCCCAUGUUUUAACAUACAAAUUGAUGUGGGGCACAGUGAUUGAUUAGGGAUGGUAAAAAUCUCCACAGGGACGGGGAUCUUUGGGAAUUUUUCCUAUUCAAGGAGGGUAUGGAGACAAUUUUAUACCCAAUUACUUAUUCGGGAAAGGAACGGAAAUAAUUUUUUACCUAAUUUUUUAUUCGGAGAAGGGACGGGGAUGAGGUGGAAUCUCCAUUCCCUACCCAUUUCCCCAUUUUCUCGUAUUAAUUUUUAAUUUUAUUUUUAUUUUUUAAAAUUAUUAAUAAAUUAAUAAUGAAAUUUAAAUUAUAUUAAAUAUUAGUAUAAAUAACAAAUAUCAAAAUAUUUCAGCAGUUAAAAUUAUUAAUAAAUUAAUAAUGAAAUUUAAAUUAUAUUAAAUAUUAGUAUAAAUAACAAAUAUCAAAAUAUUUAUACAAAUCUACUAUAAAAAUUUUGAGCCUACUUAAUUAGUUGUAGUCCUGAAUUACUAUUUGACCAAACCUUAUUCUAAAGGUCUUGUCCCAAAAUUGUUUUAAAUUAUGAGUCAUAUUGCUUAUAUUAUUUUUAUUGUUUUAGAUUUGAAACCUGAUGUUAUCUCUCAAUUUGUCAAAUUUCUCGAGAAAGAACAUGAGGAACAUGAGGUGCAAGAGUAAAUGCUUUUAUUAAAAAUAUUAAUUUCAGUAUCUAUAUCAAUUUCAUUAAUUCUAUUAUUAAUAUAAAAAUAAUUUUUUUAUUAUAAGAUCAAGAUUGACGAAGAUAAUUAUUCUGAUGAUUUGUAUUUGGUAGUGUGAUUUUUGUAAUGAAUUAAUAUUAGUGUAAGAUAUAUUGUCAAACUUUACUUUGGCUUAAAUUUUUAUUUUAAUAUGGUUAAAUCAAGUUUAGAAUUUAAAUUUAAAAAUGUAUCAGUUAUUCGGGGAUUGAAGACUUUUCGGGAAUUCUCUCUUAUUAUUCAGGGAGAGGACGGGGAUCCCAUCAAGCAAUUCUAAUGGGGACAAGGAGGGGACGAGAAUAUAUGUAGAAUAUCGGGGAUGGGUGUGGGGACGUCGGUCCCUUCCCCUCCCCUUCGCAUUGCCAUCCCUAUGAUUGAUUGAUGCAACAUGUAAUGCAACAAAAAUUCAGUGGUUAAAUCGCUAUGAAGCAUGCAAAAACGCAAUCAUAAUAAAAGGUUAAGAUCUAUUAACGAUGGUGAACAAUGAGCACAUGGCCUCCCAUUGCUAAUGCUUCAACCCCUAAUACUGAGAAAGAUUUUCCGAACAGCACGUAAUUUCGCCACAACAUCUAUUAUUUGCAUUCGCCCGGAUGGGGAUUCCGAUGAGCAGAGAACUCCAAUUUUCACUAUAAUAACCAAGCACUCCUCGAUUUUGGCUCCAUAAUUUUCAGGAUUCCUAGAGUUUCUCGCCCUUGCUUUCAGGUCCAACAACAAAGAAGGAUAAACAAUUUCAUUACUUUUCUGGUAGAACAAAUAGGUUCGAUAACAGUUCAAAUUUUGGAAUUAAAAAACUUAAUAUUUUGUUACAUAAGUGAAUAUGUAUCAUGUUAUUAUUGGUGGGCUAUAAAAUAAACAUAAAAUACAAAUAAAAGUAAAUAUAAAUUAUAAAUUAUAAAAUCGAACUAAAUUAAAAUUGGUCGACUAAGUCUAAUUCCGAUUCUAUUCUAUAAUAUUUUGAUUUUUUUUUUUAAGUUUCUGUGAAGUCAAAAUCUUAUCGAAACUAAGUUGAUCAACAUGGUCUGAAUUGAAAAAUGAAUUGAAAUAAUCUGGUGCCAACCCCUACCUAUUAUACUCAUAAGGCCAAAUUAUCCACGUACUUAUGUGUCGUUGAUUUUAAUAAAAGAAAUUAGAGUACAAGGUUCGGCAUAAACUGCCAUAAACUAUCAUCGUUAGUGAUUUUAUAAUAAGUUAGGGAGCUGAAUGUUAUAUAUUUCCAAUAAGAUAAAUUUAAAACGAAACAGAUAAGUAUAAAUAUACGCUGUGUAGAUCAUGUCGAGGUUUCUCUGGUUUUAGAGAGAAAUUGAUUUGCUUUGAACACGGAAUGUGUUGGUCUCUGAUUCAUCAAAACGACACUUGUUUCAUUUUUGUCUCUAUCUCAUUCUCUCUCUUUUAGGAAUCAAAUUCAUUAGGGUUAGGGUUUUCAUUGUUCUCUUGCUAAGGAUAAUAACAUUUUGGUUCGUUUAAUUAGCAGUGAAGCCAAACCAAGCAACCAGGUAUGAACAGAAGAAACCGAAUUCUACAUAUUAAUUUUAUUUAAUUACUAACAAUUACUUUUUAAAAUUUUUUUAUCGAUAUAUGCAAUGCAUUAUCCUUUGUGGCCAUAUGUAUGUUCUUUUAUUAUUUUUAUUUGAUUGUUAUAUUGAAUUCUUUUAGAAGUAAAUUUAGGUUCAGUUGCUGUUUUAAUGAAUUGGGUUCUUUUUAGUUUCUUAAUUAAUUUGCCUGUAUAAUUAGUUUUGGUUUUCUUGGGAUAAAGUAUCAACACCUUCUCUGGCUCUGUGCUGUUGUUCCUUUGGAGUUGCUGAACUUGGGAAUUAGGGCCUUGGUAUUAUGAUUUGGACUUUUCGGGUGUUUGGAUUUCUUUUUUUUAAAAAAAAAAUAAUGGAUUUGUGUUUGAUUGGGGUUUAUUGGGUGUUUGGAUUUGAAUCUUUUUUUGUAUAAUGGGUUUGUAAUCUCUUUCUCUUGAAUGCCUUACUGUCUGUUUUUAUAUGAUAGUUCUCAAAUGAUCUUUCAUUAAAAGAUUUUUAUUUAGUGUCCUAUACUUAAUGGAACCUUGAAGUAGCAACGAUGGUUUCAGUUUUAAUUUGGUUUUUGAAGUCUUGCAGUAAACAAGUUAGAUAUUUCAAUUUCGAUUCAGAUUUAAAAAUUUGGAUAAGUUGUUGCAGAGAGUGGAGCUUUGUUAAUAUGGAAAGUUCAGAAGAUGGUGCGGCAAAAAUGGAGCCUCCUGAUCCUGAUGUACUUGAGACUGAUCCAACUUGUCGAUACAUCCGGGUAAUGUUAUGCUCUUUUUUAUAUUGUUAAUCAAUUUCUUCUAUUUUCCCUGCUUGUUUGCUGGGAAAAUUGGGAGGUGAAAGAAAAUUAGUGUGUUGUUAUCUUUUUUUGUAUGCCUUGUUUUGCUUUUGAGGCAAGAGACUGAAGUUCUAUGAUGUGUCUUUUCUUAUGUUUUUCUGUCAAUCCCCAUCAACAAAACUGAAAUAUAACCCGAUGUGGGUUCUUACAGUACAAAGAAGUGAUUGGAAAAGGGGCUUUUAAGACAGUGUAUCCUUCAUUAUUCUGUUUUUUUCUUCCUUUUUUGUUUCAUUCAGAGAUACUAGUGUUUGUACUUUGUCCUGUGGAUACAUAUGUUUGCAGAAGCUGUUACAGCCGACAUUUUUUUUUCUUUUUUUUUUCUCUGAUAAGAAAAAGGUAAUGUUGGACAAGCUAGUCUGUGACUGGAUGUAACAAAGUUGCAAAUGGAAAUAAAUUCCUUUUUGGUAGUUUGAGCUUAUUUUGUUCAUGGAUCUGUAUGCUUUCCUUAAUUUUAUGAAAUCCUAGCUACAAGGCAUUUGACGAAGUCAACGGACUUGAAGUAGCAUGGUGCCAAGUUCGGAUUGACGAUGUGUUGCAGUCACCAGAAGACUUAGAGAGGCUUUACUCUGAGGUGCAUCUCUUGAAGUCACUGAAGCAUAACAAUAUUAUAAGGUUUUACAAUUCAUGGAUUGAUGACCAGAACAAGACGGUGAAUAUUAUAACUGAGCUCUUCACCUCGGGUAGCCUCAGACAGUACGUUUCCUCUCCUUCUCAUGACUCCCUUAAAAUUCCCCUUUUUUGGUUUUAUAGUGACAUUAGCCCUGUGAUUAGUGGCCCUGAACUGUGAUUUAGGUACCGGAAGAAACACAAGAAGGUUGACAUGAAGGCUGUGAAAGGUUGGGCAAGACAGAUUUUGUCAGGCUUAAUUUACCUUCACAGUCAUGAUCCACCAAUAAUACAUAGGGAUCUGAAGUGUGACAACAUAUUUAUCAAUGGUAACCAAGGAGAAGUGAAAAUUGGAGAUCUAGGGUUGGCCACUAUCAUGGAGCAGGCUAAUGCCAAAAGUGUAAUUGGUAUAUUUAUAUUUUUCUUCUUUAAUAUCUUUGACACUUAUCAGAUGCAACUUCUCCUCUUACAUGCAAUUAUGCCCUGAUUGAUUUGGGGAAAAAUAUUCCAACAGCCCCAGGCAUUAUGGGCUUGAUUCACAUUCUAAUGGUUUUAUUGGAGAUUUUUGUUUUAUAUGCCUUCUAUAUUUACCCAAAUGUCAUUGCUUCUGAGUUGGCUCCUCAUUCUUUCCAAUUGAUCCAUGGAGAUGGUCUUCACAGGAACCCCAGAGUUCAUGGCUCCUGAGUUGUAUGACGAGAAUUACAACGAGUUGGCUGAUAUAUAUUCCUUUGGAAUGUGCAUGCUAGAGAUGGUGACAUUUGAAUACCCCUAUAGUGAAUGCAGAAACUCUGCUCAGAUUUACAAGAAGGUUUCAUCUGUAAGUUAUCUAUGAAUGAUAUUUUGCAUUUUCUUUAGCUUGUAAUGGCUAUUGCCUAUAUGUUGGUCAAUGACCUUUGUUUUAUGACUUUGAAGGGCAUCAAACCUGCUGCCCUUUCUAAAGUGAAGGAUCCAGAAGUAAAGAGCUUUAUUGAGAAGUGUCUAGUCCCUGCAUCUCAAAGGCUCUCAGCAAAGGAGCUUCUGACGGACCCUUUUCUCCAAGUGAAUGGAACAACAAAAAAUCGUCCACUGCCGCUGCCUGACAUUGUUUUGCCCAGAGUGGGAGCCUUUGGAGAUAGGUGUCUAAUGUCAGAAGGACCAGCUGGUGUGCGAAAUAAGCAUCCCUCCAUGGAUUUUGAUAGUGACACAGAACUGCCUGUUAUCACUUUUCUUGAUAACUCUGGUGGUGGGGAUUCCUAUUCUCCGAGCAUUGAGGUUCGAAGAUCUAAGAGAGGGAACUUUUUCUUGUUAAAAGGCGAGAGCAAUGAUGAAUACUCUGUAUCAUUGAUCCUUCGAAUAUCAGAUCAGUCUGGUCAGUACUUUGCCUUUUAAAUGCAUGUCUGCUCUCAGAUUCUUAUCACUUUUUCUCUAAACUUUGUUUCAUUGCACUCUCUACGAUUUGAUAUAUUUUCACAUAACGUUUGUUUGAUGUCCUUAAAUGCAGGCCGCCUGAGGAAUAUUCAUUUUCUUUUCUACCUUGAUAGUGAUACAGCCUUCUCAGUUUCAAGUGAAAUGGUUGAGCAGCUGGAGCUGGCUGACCAGAAUGUUACAUUCAUUGCAGAGUUGAUUGAUUUAUUGUUACUGAACCUGAUACCUGGUUGGAAACCAUGUGUUCGCAUUGACCAUCUAAUUCCCCAAAAAAGCAGACGACAAUCUCCUGGGGACCACGAGAAGGAUGCUUUGUCGCUAGAACGUGUAGACAAUUCUUCAGGGUUGUCCCAGAGGUCUUAUGAAGCUGACAAUCAUUCAAGGUCUUCAGAUGGCCAAGAUUCUACUUCUCUCAAAGAAGGCAUUCAAACAACAGUGCUAGGGCCUGAUUUUAUUAAGCCCGAUGAGAAAAGAUCUCAUAAUGAUUUCAGCUGUCAGGGUAAGGCCACAGCAGAUGAUCAAACUUCUGAGAAAUCAAAUGUUUCUGGAUCCUCCAGUGAGCAGAAUGAAAAGAAAUACUGCUUUAGUUCAGAUAUAUUCCCAGAGCCGGGGACUAUGGACUUCGAUGGACAUGCAUUUGUUGUUAGAACGAGUGAAUCUCCUGCCAGAAUGGGAUUAGGCGAAACCCCAGAUGAAAAGAGCAAUAUCAUGGACAUAUGCUCCAAUGGUGUGGUGGACACUUCGAGUGGUCUCACUAUCUCUUCUCUGUCUGACCUAGAAAUAGACGAAGAAAUCAGAAUGAAGCUGGAAAUGAUUGACCUGCAGUACCAGGAGGAAUUUAAAGCAAUCUCCAAGAGAAGACAUGAUGCCAUCCUGGAUACGAAAAAAUCGAUGAAGAAAAAAACAGAGCCGGUUUAUUAGUUCUUUUCUUUCCUUCUUUUUUUUUUUUUUUGUUUUUUCUUUUCUUU